AAAAAAACACUAUUACAAGACAAAACCAAUGUUCCAAAACAAACAACACUAGAUACAAAAAUUAGAUCACCUGACCGAAUAACCGAAAGUCUGAAAAAAAUAAUGAACACAGAAUUAUUCGAUGUCAAAGUUGAGAAAAUUAAUAAAUCGAGAAAACUAUUGGGAUCAAAGACUGUGAAAGAUAGAAAAGCAACUUUUGAAAAUAACGAUGUUGUUGAAAAAUUAGCUAGG